rnacentral:rRNA from 1 species
GUGGGGAAUCUUGCGCAAUGGGCGAAAGCCUGACGCAGCCAUGCCGCGUGAAUGAUGAAGGUCUUAGGAUUGUAAAAUUCUUUCACCGGGGACGAUAAUGACGGUACCCGGAGAAGAAGCCCCGGCUAACUUCGUGCCAGCAGCCGCGGUAAUACGAAGGGGGCUAGCGUUGCUCGGAAUUACUGGGCGUAAAGGGCGCGUAGGCGGACAGCUUAGUCAGAGGUGAAAGCUCAGGGCUCAACCUUGGAAUUGCCUUUGAUACUGGCUGUCUUGAGUUUGGGAGAGGUGAGUGGAACUCCAAGUGUAGAGGUGAAAUUCGUAGAUAUUCGGAAGAACACCAGUGGCGAAGGCGACUCACUGGCCCAAUACUGACGCUGAGGCGCGAAAGCGUGGGGAGCAAACAGGAUUAGAUACCCCAGUAGUCC